rnacentral:rRNA from 1 species
GACGAACGCUGGCGGCGUGCCUAACACAUGCAAGUCGAACGGAAAGGCCCUGCUUUUGUGGGGUGCUCGAGUGGCGAACGGGUGAGUAACACGUGAGUAACCUGCCCUUGACUUUGGGAUAACUUCAGGAAACUGGGGCUAAUACCGGAUAGGAGCUCCUGCUGCAUGGUGGGGGUUGGAAAGUUUCGGCGGUUGGGGAUGGACUCGCGGCUUAUCAGCCUGUUGGUGGGGUAGUGGCUUACCAAGGCUUUGACGGGUAGCCGGCCUGAGAGGGUGACCGGCCACAUUGGGACUGAGAUACGGCCCAGACUCCUACGGGAGGCAGCAGUGGGGAAUAUUGCACAAUGGGCGGAAGCCUGAUGCAGCAACGCCGCGUGCGGGAUGACGGCCUUCGGGUUGUAAACCGCUUUCGCCUGUGACGAAGCGUGAGUGACGGUAAUGGGUAAAGAAGCACCGGCUAACUACGUG